CCCUGGGUCCCUCCUCUGCACAUGUCCAAACCAUUUCAAUCUCACCUCUGUCUCCAAACCGUCCCAUCUGAGCUGUCCCCUUGAUAUAGUCAUUCCUAAUCCUGCCCAUUCUCCUCACUCCCAAAGAGAAUCGCAGCAUCUUCAGCUCUGCCUCCUCCAGCUCUGCCUCC